rnacentral:sRNA from 1 species
UUAACGGGCAGGCCGACUAAAAUCGCCACGUCCUGUGGCAACGUCGGCAUUAGUACAUCCUGUACG